ensembl:lncRNA
GCCGGGGCUGGGGCUCAGGGCGGGGCCUGGUCGGGGUCGGGGGUGCUUGGAGCGCAUCCGAGUGGCACCGGGUCCGGCGCGUCCGGCUUGUGGGCUCAGCGUCUCGCGAGCCCCCGCCGUGCAGCAAUCAGGGCCAGGCGGGAGCCAAGUCUGGGUCUGAGCCUCGGCCGGUCAAGCUGGGAUCCAGGCCGCAUCUGGGGCUGAGCCCGGAGUCUGCAUCCAAGGUUCGGGGCCAUCUGGGCCGAAUCAGGAGCCAGGGGCCGGGUCUGAGUCUGUGUCUGGGGUCCCAGUCCGUGAUUCCUAUCUGGGCCCCGGUCCACGUCGAAGUCAGGAUGCGGGUCCAGAUUCGUGUCCGCGUGGACGUCAGGGUCCUGGGUCUAGGUUUGCUUCCAGGAUCCUGGUGUGGAAGCCAGGUCCGCGUCUGCGUGGAUGCUGCGCUCCGUCUGCGCCCAGGAUCCAGGUCUCAGUCCGGAAUCCGGGUCCAGAUGCAGAUUCGGGUUCGGGUUUCGGUAUGUGUAGACAUCAGGGCCCCAGGGCCAGUCUGCGCUUAAGGUUCAGGUCUGGGUGUGAGCCCGCGUGGACGCGGCGCCUAGCCCGCCUCGCCCGGUCUAGCAGCGGCACGCGCCCCAAUUAGCGGCAGCCGGGCCCCCGUCGAGGGCGGACAAAGGGCGCGACCCCGGGGUCAGGAGUCGCGGGGCCGGCGGCCGCCGCUUUGUGCGCUGUUUGCUCAGCGGAGGCCGCGCCGAGUAGAUCGGCUAAAGCGGAUUAGGGGGUCGCGCGCGGUGGGCGGGCGGGCUCGGGCCCGGACCUCCCAGGAUGCGCUGCCCUCCCGGACCGAAGCCUCGCUGUGCCGCGGGGAAACUGAGGCAGGCUAGGGUCGCCCAUGCACACCUCGGACAGAGGUGGCUCAGAGGCCCCCACCGAGCCUUUGAAGUCCACGGAGACAUCGCCUUAUUUCCUUACCCUGCAUUUGAAAGAAUUCUACCCUUUCUAGUCCCGCAGGACCUGGGCAUUCGUUUUAUGGAGAAGCAAAUCACACUUGCCUGAAGGUCUCUUGCCAGGAAAGUUAUUGGGACUGUAGCGGUGCCUCCUGUGUCCCUAGCACUUCGCCCUGUAGAGCAACACUUCAAAACAGAAAAUGAAACUGGGCAGCAUCGCCAGGCAAACACUGGCUGCCGUUGUCGUGUUCCCUUCUGCAGCCCUCGGCUGAGAAGGAAAAACGUGGCCAGGAGGAGGAGGAGGACUCAGCGUGCAUCUGGGGGACACAUCCUCCCCAGGACACCUCCUGCUGCCGGGCACACCCUGCUUUUUUACCCCUGGGGUUAACAGUGAGCUACUUCCAACCCCUGGACAACAGCUGAAAACCCCUGCUUGGGCUUAGUGACGGUGCCCAGCCAUGGCAACAGUGACAGAGCCCCACCGAAGCCUGCUUCCCUGGAGAGGCCGAUGAAGUCAUGCAGGCCCGAGCCCAGCUCCUAUGAGGGAGGCGGAUGGAAACCAGAGCCUGGCAAGGAUGUGUCAGCCGGAUGGCAGGUGGAGAGAUGCAGGCAUGGCGAGUUCAGGCAAAGUGCCAAAGCUCACCCCAGAAAGGUGGCCCAGGAUUUGAACUCGGAAGAGCCCGUGUCGCCCCUAUCUAGGUGACCACCAUGUUGGAAAAGUCUUCCCCUUAAACCAUGGCACCCUGGCCUCGCUUCAGAUCGUCCCACAGCGCUCUGCAGGUCUGGGCAGAUGAUGGUGAGGGUGCCUGGAUUCUCCAGCGAGCUGUGUCUUCAGGGAAAUGAAUCUACCUCCUCUGUUUAUCUAGCUCUCUGCCCUGAGGUGUGGUUCUCAGCUGCUUGUCACUGAGGGCAUAGGCUCCUGCCAGAGGGCUCUGCCAGGACCAGCACCAUGCCCUUCUGCCCAAGGGACAGUCCCAGUCAUGCCUGCUUCUCUCUGCAGGAAGCCAGUCCCCUUUAGGGACCAGCUGCAGCCCCCUGAGAGCCUCAGCUUCCUUCCCUUCAAGAUGAGAAGAGAAACCCCUGCACUCCAGGGUCUGGGGACGGGGGCAGGGGUGUCCCUCCAAGAUCAGGUGCUUCGACCUCCUGGGAUAGGGAAGGGAGAGAGCACAUGAGGAUCUGUGGCCUCAGUUUCCCUGACCUUUCUAGGUAUGACCAUGUGUAAGCUCCAGACUCCAAGUGGGAAGCCAGGAAGGAAGGGAGGGAGGUGGCAUCUUUCUGUCCUCGUGCUCAAGGAAAGGUCAGGUCCCAGGCCUCAGAUGUCACAGUGUUCCUCUAUGAUCAGAAGGAGCCCUACAGGUAUGACUAACCUGAGUGAGAGAGCACCCUGGAUCACCCAGGUGGCCCAAGGAAUGACGGUGGUCCUUAAAACCAGAGAAUUAGCUCCAGUUGUGGCUGGAGACAGAGCGAGGUGAUACUGCUGAUUUUGAAAACGGAGGGGACCGCAAACCCAGGGAUACAGGAGGCCCUGAACUGGAGCCUCCAGAAGGACCCAGCCCUGCUGACACCUUGGUGUUAGCCCAGUGAGACCCUCUUCAGCCACAUCAGACUUCAGACUUCCCUGACUAAAGUAAAUCAACACAUAAAUUUGGAGUAUGCUUAGCAUGCAUGAAACCCUGGGUUCCUUUCCCAGCAGCACAUUAAAAAAAUAAUAAAGUAAAUCUUCGUUGUUCCAGCCAUGUGACAGAAUGGGAGGGGGUAAUGCAAGGAUGGGGCCCCAAUGUGGUCACUUCACACACAGUGCUCACCUUCGGGACCUGCGGGCUUGGGGUGGACACACCUCAUUCCCACCCUCAGGGCCUCAGUCGGGUGGCAGAUUCCUCCUCUCCCCUGGGAUCCUGACCUCACCUCCAGGGCAGCUGGCGCUCCUCGCUUCCCUCCUCCUCCACCUCCUCCCGGCCAUCCAGGACGCCUUGCCCAGGAGUGGGCACCACACUAAAGGCUACGCCCUCCCAACUCGACAUUGCCAUCUUUCCAACUCCAGCCCAACAGGAGAGUGGUCUGGGCAGCCUGUCUGGCCACUCGUGGGCCCCACACCCAGUCCACAGUGUGAUGGGACACGGGGCUGUUUUCUGCUCUCCUCCUUUCACUAGGGGUGUAGAACCUCCAGGGUCCACACAGAGGGCCCCGGGCCAGGACCUCUGCUCAUGGAGCCUGGGCUUCAUCUGUGAAGGAGGCCAGUCACGGAUGCCAGGCACUCAGCCAAGGCAAGUGGGCUGUUUCAGAGACAACCCAAGACCAAAAUGUCUUUCCUUCCUGGAAGCCCCAGCACGAAAGCCUGGUUUUACCAGCUUAGGAAAUAGAAGGCCACACACAAUGUGUUUCGUGGUGUUCAUAGGAGGGAAAAUGGAAACACUUGGGAAGAACCUGGGUGCCCGAUAAAUAAAUUAAAGAACAAAAUAAAAGGUAGAUAAUAGGAAACAGGGAGAUGGAUCUGCUGGAAAUGGGAAGGGGGCCAAGACAUGGAGGGAGGAGGAGGGAUGGGAGGAGACAGAGACAUAACGAGAAUUAAGAUGUGUUCUGUCCACGACCAACUCCUCAGGAUGAGUGUAAUCAUUAUGUACUGAAAACAUAGAGUAAUAAAAGUAAAAAUUUAAAAAGGGGUUAGUUAAGGAAACGCAUGCAGCGGAACAUUAACUAGUCAGCAGAACUACUUUGUAGACCAGCAUCUUCUGACACAGGCAAAGCGUGGUGAUCAAAUAUUUAGUGAACCACUCAGAAGGAAAAAUGAUCUACAUAACGAGGCUCAGAGACUAAUUUUUAAAAACGGAUAGGUUUGCAUGGAAGCUGGGCGAGGCACUCCCAGCGGCUGUGUGAGUGUGGUUUCAAAGGUGACUGAGAGAUUCGAG